GUCACUUAAAACGCGCUCAAUAUUUGAUGGCCCGAAGACAAAAUUGAGCCACCUCCGCAAUGCAAAUGAAAAAGAGAUAUGCCAUGGUACACACCGUGACAUGAGUUUAAAAGUCAGUUAUCUGACUACGGCAAAGUUAAAAGAAAACCUAAAUUCAAAGAUUUUGGAGAAAAUUUUUGCUAAAGCCAAAAUGAUGCGAAACCGAAACGCACUGUUCACAUACUUCACUUACAAUAUGGAACACCUCCCCCAUACCAUCGAUUCCCUUCCCAGGGAAGCUAAGGAAAAAACCUCUAAACGAUCUUCGAGCGAACAACGUGAACGCAUUAUAAAAAUGUUUUACGAUGCUGAACCCAAAACGGGAGAGUAGAAAAACAAAGCAACAGAAUAAAUGCUGAAAAGCGA